GUCUACGGCCAUACCACCCUGAACGCGCCCGAUCUCGUCUGAUCUCGGAAGCUAAGCAGGGUCGGGCCUGGUUAGUACUUGGAUGGGAGAAGGAAUAUGCAAAGCCUCAAAGA
rnacentral:rRNA from 1 species